UGGGGAAUAUUGGGCAAUGGAGGCAACUCUGACCCAGCAACGCCGCGUGAAGGAUGAAGGUCUUCGGAUUGUAAACUUCUUUGAUUAGGGACGAAGCAAAUGACUGUACCUAAAGAACAAGCCCCGGCUAACUAUGUGCCAGCAGCCGCGGUAAUACAUAGGGGGCAAGCGUUGUCCGGAAUGACUGGGUGUAAAGGGUGCGUAGGUGGUAUUGUAAGUUAGAAGUGAAACCCCGUGGCUCAACUACGGAACUGCUUCUAAGACUGCAGUACUAGAGUGCAGGAGGGGUAAUCGGAAUUCCUAGUGUAGCGGUGGAAUGCGUAGAUAUUAGGAGGAACACCGGAGGCGAAGGCGGAUUACUGGACUGUAACUGACACUGAGGCACGAAAGCGUGGGGAGCAAACA
rnacentral:rRNA from 1 species